AAACUGGGCCCUGAAGCAGCAGAGGGCUUUGCCCAGGGUGGUGGCACUAGACUGGGACAGAUUAGGAUGAGGUGCCGGGCCCUUCCUGCUACUGGUGUCCUUUCUCCUCAGUCACAAGGACAUAGUAGCUGAGGGGUUGCGCCAGCUGCUGGGGGAGGAGAAAUACCGCCAGGACCUGACUGUGCCUCCAGGCUACUGCACAGACUUCCUGCUGUGCGCCAGCAGCUCUGGUGCUGUGCUUCCCGUGAGGACCCAGGACCCCUUCCUGCCAUACCCACCAAGGUCCUGCCCACAGGGCCAGGCUGCCUCUAGCGCCACUACUCGAGACCCUGCCCAGAGGGUGGUGCUGGUGUUGCGGGAACGCUGGCAUUUCUGCCGGGACGGCCGGGUGCUGCUGGGCUCGAGGGCCCUGAGGGAGCGGCACCUAGGCCUGAUGGGCUACCAGCUCCUGCCGGUGAGUGGCCCUGGCCUGGCCCGUGGCGCAUCCUCACUCCCAGCCUGCGGGUAACCUGCCGCCCUCUCCUCUCCCCACAGCUACCCUUCGAGGAACUGGAGUCCCAGAGAGGCCUGCCCCAGCUCAAGAGCUACCUGAGGCAGAAGCUCCAGGCCCUGGGCCUGCGCUGGGGGCCUGAAGGGGGCUGAGGGGUUGAUGUGGGGUUCAGGAUGGCCCCCCCAUGGGGGGUGGAUGAUUUGCACUUUGGUUCCCUGUGUUUUGAUUUCUCAUUAAAGUUCCUUUCCUUC
rnacentral:lncRNA from 10 species